GAUCAGUUCACAAUUGUAUAUCAUUUUGUACCCUUCUAGCUUAUGAUUUGGUUAUGUUAUUGAGUCAAACGUGUGCUUUUAAUCCCUUUUCUGUUUAUCAUUCAGUUCAUUGGGCCUUAGGUAGCAAUGGUGUCUUUGGAUAAGAAGAGAUGCAAAAUGGUGCAAAAAACGAGCAGACUGAGCUAGCAACUCAUUUCGGCCUUAACAUCUUCAUCCGAACUUGGAUUGGCCCAAAUAAUAUGUAGUUGGAAAGAUGAGAGUCUGAACUUCAAGAUGGACUACUCAAAUGCAUCAGAUAAUGAAGUUGAGCCCAAUUCGUGAGCCCAUAUACACACCAGGCUCAGGAUUGCAGUUUCCAGCUGUUGAGCCUUGGAUACUUUCUUUGAGCAUUGGAUACUUUCUUUGAGCCAUGUGACUCACCACAGCUGUCCUUGACUUUAUAGACCAGACAUGUUGAGCAAUUUAGGGAGGUGUGUCAGCUACUCAAGUGCAAAAGGGUCCCUCCAUUCACCAAUAAUUCACUCCAGCCAUCCUAUAUCACUCCAUUCAGCCCAAAAUCAGAAAAGAACAACUCCAACAAGCCUUCCUUCCAUUUCCUACGAAUUUGUUCUUUCUCUGCCAUCACCAACCACCCAAACUCAUCCCAAAUCACCUCUUUAGUUGCCAUACUCUAGACAUGAGAAAGUUCUUGGAGUAGCAUUAGACGUGGAGAAGCACCUGGAGAAGCCUUGGAAACCACAAGCAACUUCAGAAUUGGGUUUCUCUACUCUUAUUGCAUUCAAUAUGUUUUCUCAUUUUUGCUUCAGUUUCAUUUCCAUUAUGAGUAGCUAAAUUCAUAACUAGGGCUAUGAUGUAACCUAACAUGAAUAUUCUGGGUUUAUAAGUUGAAGUUUUGAGUUUCAAGUUUGAUUCAUGAUUCAUAUUCCUAUUCUUUAUGCUUAUCAGUUAAUAUGCUUGUUUGGAUGAUUGAUCACCAUUAGAACUUGUAUAUUAGCUACCUUGGUUUGAAUCAAGAGUAGACACCAUGCUUUGAUUUGAAUUGAACUAUGAAUAAGAAAAGUAUGUAUGGACAUUCGACAACAGGGAUUAGAUACAUGCUUGGUUGUUUAAAUUGUUCUUCUAUGCUUAAUGGGUUCCUAAUGCUUAAUUUAGAUUAGACAACAAAUGAUCAAGUUAGGGAAUUAGGAGCACAAGGUUAGGACCAGACACCAUGGCCUAAUCAUACUUUAGCUAGAAUCAAUCUUUGAAUCCGAAUGAGACUUGUCACUUGACUCCUUAUAACCCAGAAUUGAAUUGUUAUGGUGAAUCAAAUGCCCUAGUCUCCCAAUCUGUUUUCCAGCCUACAAAAGUACUCUUUGUUACAUUUGUUCACUUUGCUUUUGUUUGAAAUUUCGUUUUGCCUCAUUUGUUCAACAAUUACAAUCACUCUUGCUUUAAAUUCUAUUUUAGACUUAACCUCCUAGUUUCUUGAAUUUGGUAAUCUAAGUACAUAACUAAUUUUAACUUCUCAGUCCUCGUGGGUACGACCUCGUACUUGUCUUGCUAUACUACUAAUUGGCCCGUACAAUUGCGAGUUAACAUUUUAACAACAAGACAAAUGCGUAAAGUAAAGUGCAAAAGAUAAAUAACGUAAAGACGAGAAUUAAAGUGCGAUAAAAUGAAUCAAAGCAAUAAAUAAAGCAAGACCGAAAUGAAAGCAAUAAGAACAAUAAAGUAAAAUGAACUUGAAAUUAAACUUAUUUGAAGUGAGAUAACAAUGAAAAGUAAAGUAAUUGAAAUAAACUUGAAUUUAAAUGACAAGAAAAUAUAAAUUGAACGAGAAUUUAAACUUAUACUAAGAAAAGGGAAGAACUCACUACACUAAGUGCUUGGAAAGUAAAAUCCUAAGUCUAGGAAAAGAAAAGUGUGAGACGAAAAAUAAGUUUGUCUGUCUGAUUUUGUGUCUUUUGUCUUCGUCUAGUGAGGUUUAUAUAGGGCAUUCGUCAGCCCAUGGGCUAGCCAUUGAAUGGCCAAAGGUCAAAUCUUUUAAAACUUAUUUCCUUCCAAUGCCCCCUUAAAUCCGUAGGAUUGCAUUGAUUGAAAUAUUCUGACAGGCUUGAUUCUUCCUUGCUUUGGAACAUUCAGAGUUAUUAUCAAACUCCUUGAUUUCUUUCCUUGUGAGGCCUUUGUCACGUGCACACUAAGCUCCUAAAAUCUUGGGCGUGAAUAUGUGGCUUGGGCUUGGAACUCUGAUCAAUUGGAAUGAUACAAGAAUGUCCUUCAUGACCUUUGAAUUCCUUGAGCUCUAAAAUCGAUCUGCCGAGGAACCUCAUUUGAUCUUUAUAUUCGUUUAUUAAUAUAUAUACAUAUAUUAAUAAAUGGGCAGUUUGGGUUUUGUUGUUUAAACCAAUUGAAUCUUGUAUAUAUAUAUAUAAAGAUAGAUAGUCAGUUCUAAGUUUGUUAUUCAUUCCGCCCAAGUGGCUAGUUUAAGUUUAUCAAUUCGAAAUUUUCAGUCUCUUCUGUUAUUUUCUUUUUAUUCUUCAAGUAGCCGAGUGUUUCUCUCUCUUGGUGUCUAAACAGUAAGUCCUAGAGUCCAAACAGUAAGUCCCAGGUGAGGCAUGAGCGGUUGCGGCAUGAGCGGAGGUUGAGAGAACCAUUAGGUUUCCUGUAGAGUAAAGGGUCAGUUUCAGAGGUCCCUAUUUAUCUUCUUCUUUAGAAGCCAAACCCAGUACUUGUAAGAAUGAGUCGCCUAUUUAGAACAAACUCUUGAAGUUCGAGCAGCUCUAGAGCCAGUAUUAGUCGUCUUCCAGAGAUAGUUAAUAAAGAACAAGUAGAAUAUGAGUCUAAUAGUGAAUUAGAUUACAAAGAUUGGAAUAUACCUAGAGUCCCCAGUCAGGACAUUUAUAAGAAAAAAUGGUCUUUGUCUAGUUUUAAGUCGACCACCCAUGUCAAAAUAGUUGAACAAGUCUACGCCUUAAGUAAAGAGCAUGAAACAUGCCAGUUGCUUAAUCUUGAGUCGAUUAAAAAGCAUAAAAAUGAUGGAAACAAUUUCCUUCACAUUGGUUUAGUUCAAGUUGCCGUUAAGCCUUUAACUAGAUUAGGAUUAAAAGCUUCAAUCCUUCUCUAUUUACGUGAUGCUAGAUUCCUUAAUUUCACCGAUAGUACGCUUGGAAUUAUUGAGUCCAGUUUUGCUAAUGGUCCAGUCUAUUUUGAUUGCUAUCCUGAUUUCACGGUCAGCCUUAGUGAUCCUCAUAUUUUGAAAAUUCUCACAUUAAAUAUUAAAACUGAGGGUUAUGAAGUCCUACCAGGUACCCAACCCUUAGCAUUGGUUUAUAGAAUCUAUUAUAAAGUCACAGGCACCAAUAUGAAUUUUCAAGCCUUAAGUAAAAGUCCAAAAAAUCAAACUUUGUUAAUCCAAAGUCAUACGCCUGAUGCCACCAUAAGAAUCCCUCAUACAAUCAAAUGGUCUGAAGUGUCCCUUCCCAUGGAUUGAACCAUAACCACUGAGAGUCAACCUACUACCAUCCAACGUAGUCUAAACAAUUUAGACUAUAUCCAACAAUACCUUGAUGGCACAGUUAAAAUUAAUUUUGGUAACUAGGUUGUACAAAAAUCUACAGUCUAGUUACAAUAGUUGCCUACCCCAAGUCAGUCCCAGAGGCAUAUUCCUGCAAGGCACUCCUUUGCACCCUCUUCCUCUACUCUAGAACGAGACCUAGAGCUAGAAAAAGCAAUGAUUGAUUUUAAAUUAGAAACAUUAAGAAAAAAUUCCCAAGUCAACCAACCCUGUUAUGGUACAAUACCAGCCCAGGAAGAAAAACCUGAAUCUCUUGAGUCCCCCACACAGUCUGAUUUUGUCAAAGUUGGUUUCCAAGUCGAUAACCAGCUACGAACACUUAAUAAAAUUUUUAAGAUUAAUUGGAAAUAUCUAGAUAAUCAUUUAAGAGCCCCUGAAAAUCAGGAAAGGAAAGAUAAUUAUCACAAUGCUUAUCCUAGUAAAGAGCAAUGUCAUCUAAUCUUUAACGAAUGGAAAGAUUAUAUGCGCACAGCCAAAUUGGAAAUCUUUUAUCUUGAUUUUGUAGAAAGUCGUUAUAUGUCUAAUAAGUUCAAAACUUUAACUAAAGAAAAAUGGAAGUUGUCUGACGACUCGGAAGUUGUAGCAACCCAUCCUCCAGUUGAAUCAAUAUUAAUUGAUCAUAGGAAAGCUUAAAUUCCUGCCAGUCUGUUUAAAGUCCUUGAGAAGAAUGACCCAGAUAAAAAAACUAAUUGAGCAAAAUAAUUAUACUAAUCAAAGUCUAAUUGUAAUAGGAAAACUGUUGGACAAAAUUGAAACGAAAGUUGAUAAGUUAAUUCCCCAGGAUAUUAAAUCCAAAACCAAAGUUGAAAAACCCUUAGUUCAAUUCUAGGAUCUUAAAUCAAGUCCUACCCUUAAGAUAAGUCCAACUAUAAAGAAAAUUGAAGAAAUGUUAGAACAGUUGACCCCUGUUAAGCCCGAGAAAUCCGGUCUUAAAGUCUUAGAUUCCUUAACAAUUGAAAACCAUUCUGAGUCCGAAACUGAAUCAAUGGUCAGUAUGGAAACAGAAACUAGUAAUAUUUCAAAAAUUGAAAAUGCUUUUGAAAAUUUGGAAUUAGAUAACCAAUUGAAAGUCAAACGGUUAACUAAUCAUGUUAGUCCUACUAGCCUAACCAAAAAUUGGUAUCCUAGGCCAACAACCCCAGACAUCCAAUUUGAAGAACGAAACUUUCAGAGUCAAUUUUCAGUUUCUGCCGAUAAAUUGUAUGAAUGGAAUAUUGAUGGUCUGUCUGAACAAGAAAUUCUUAAUAAGCUUCAGCAUAUGUCCAUGGUUGGUAAUAGUUAUAUCACCAAUCACAGUUUUAAGCAGUUAGAAAUAGUGCCUUUACUUGUAACCGGCUUUACUGGAACACUUCAGUAUUGGUGGGAUAAACAUUUAACCACAGAAUCAAAAAGUCUAAUAAUUCAUGUUGUUAAACUUAAUGAAGAUGGUCUUCCUAUAUUUGACGAACAAAUAGGUCAAGGUAUAGAAGAUGGAAACAACACUUUGUUUUAUACAAUAAUAGAACAUUUUGUUGGAACCCCUAGUAAUACUACUGCUAGAAUCCAUGAUCAACUUAGUAAUCUUCGUUGUCCUAAGUUGUCUGAUUUUAGAUGGUAUAAAGACGUUUUCAUCUCUAGAGUUAUGCUGAGAGAUGAUAGUAAUCAGUCGUUUUGGAAAGAAAAAUUUGUUAAUGGUCUUCCUAAUUUAUUUGCCUAUAAAAUCCAAUCACUACUACAAAAAAGCAAAAAGACGACGGUAAAUCACCGUCGUGUAUUGGGUUUUUCAAUGGUCAUGGAAUCCACCGUCAUCUUUUCCCUCAUAAACCACGACGCUAAAUAACCGUCGUUGUUAAAAUAUACAACGUCAUCAACAAAUACAAAACGACGUCUUUGUACUGCAAAAAGAUCUAAAAAAAGCAGUCGAGGAUGAGAAUAGACGACCAACUCUCUAAAAAAACCGUCGUUAAAAAGGAAAAAUAUGACACAUAUUAAGAGAACAAGGCCGCAAGAUAGACAUACAACGACGAAAAUAAAAAUACGACGACGUUAAAUAUAAUUUUCACGACAAUAAAAAAUAUGACGUCUUUAAAUACAUUAGAAGACGACGUUAUUGAUACCUACUACGUCGCAUAUAUAAAAACAACCGUCGUAAAAUUAAUUUUCCACUUCGAUUUUUCGAUAAAAGAUGACGUGGAAAUAGUUGUCAGUGUCAUUAUUUACGACGUAUGUGUUUAUAGAGUAGACGUUGAAAAACGAAACAACGUCGGUUAAAAAUAUAUGAGAGUCGUAUUACAAAAUUUAUACGUCCUAUUUUCAGAAACAAACAACGACGAUAAAUAUUAGACGUUGUUAAAUAAAACAACGUCGGAAGAAAAUAAAAACAGACGUGUUUAGUCUGCUAAAGUUCUAGAAAAUAGUCGAGGAUGAGAAUAGACGACCAACUCAAAAAAAUCACUGUCGUUAAAAAGGAAAAAUAUGACACAUAUUAAAAGAACAAGGCCGCAAGAUAUACAUACAACGACGACAACUAAAAUACUACGCCGUUAAAUAUAAUUUACACGACAAGAAAAAAUAUGACGUCUUUAAAUACAUGAGAAGACGACGUUAUUGAAAUCUACUACGUCUCUUAUUUACAAAAAACCGUCGUGAAAUAAAUUUUCCACUACUACGUCUCUUAUUUACAAAACGUGGAAAUAGUUGUCAGUGUUUUCCACUUCGAUUUUUCUAAAAAAGAUGACGUGGAAAUAGUUGUCAGUGUCAUUAUUUACGACGUAUGUAUUUAUAUAGUCGACGUUGUAUUUAUAUGUAUUCAUUACUCACGACGCACUUAAUAAUAUAGACGACGUUGAACUUCUAAACAACGUCGGUUCCAAAUAAAUGAGAGCCGUAUUACAGAACAUAUAGACGGCGUAGAUUAUGAUGAGAGCCGUAUUACAAAUAACGUCGUUUAAUUGUUAUUAGACGGCGGUUAUAAUGAAUUUCCGUCGGAAUUCAUUUCGUUCCUCUUCGUUUAUAAAAGAACUUGCGACGUGGAAAAUGUAUGAUGACGUCGUAUUUUUUAACGUUCAGAUUAUAUAUCUCGUUUUUUAGACGUCGGUAUUAUGGGAUUGGAGUCGUGUUAUUUUGAAUUACAUGGCGGUUCUUAAUCCUUCACCGACGUGAUAUCCUGAAUAAUUGCUUCACAAUAGCGUCGUGGUUCUUCAUUGUUACGUUGCUUUAAGACGUCGGUAAAUAUGCUGAAUAACUGAUUCACAAUAACGUCGUGUUUUAUUUGAACGUAGAAAGUGAAGAAAUCACAUUACAAUAUAUUACAAAAUUAAUGUCAUACACUGCCAAUUACAUAAGCAUCAUUCAAUCCAUAUAUCUUCACACCCAUCUCGAAUAUUUUGACCACCUAACUCACCCACCAGUUCAUCAAAUGUGUCAACAUUUGGCAUCCCUCUAGUAAAUGGCUCACACUCAAUUAUCACAUCACCUAAGACUUCAUCACCAAUAACAUCAUUAUAUUCUCUAUUAGGCAUUGAUAACACUACCGACCAACCACGAUGCAUCGGGUCGUCAACAAAAAAUAUUUGUUUGACUUGAGAAGCCAAAACAAAUUGGUCAUUCCUAUGUCCAAUUUUACUCAAAUCUACAAGGGUAAAUCCAAGUUCGUCGACUACAAGACCAGAACUAUCUAUCCAAUCACACCUAAAGACUGGGAUUGUAAACUUUUGGUAGUCAAGGUCCCAAAUUUCUUGAAUGACACCAUAGAAACCCAUAUUUGAGAGAAUUGGGUUUUUAUCCUUGGCACUAGCAACUUGCAUGGUAUGUGCAAGUAAAUAAACUCCACUAUUUUGAGUUGUCCGCACAUCAUCUUGUGCCUUGAUAUUGAAUUUAAUACCUUUAAUAAGAUAGCUUCUAUAUAAUGGCACUGACAUGUUUGGACCAGCUGCUAGCCACCUUAAAUUUUCUGAUACGCCAUGAUUGUCUUCCUCAAGUUCACUUUGAACCUGCAAAUUAAUCAUAUCUUAAUUCAAUCUAACAUAUAAAUAAGAAGAAAAUUAAAAGAGAAAUAUGUUAUUCAACAACAUAUACCUUGAAGCGUAGCCAUUGAAUGAAAGUGCUAUUGUGCUUAUCCUGCAGCCACUUUGUUCUCUUUCUAAAUUUUGGAUAAGCAGUCUUGAUGUGAAUCAUAUGUUGCCUACAUGACACAAAAAAUUCAAGCAUUACGGUCCUAAAUAUAAAAGAUAAACAUAAGAAAUAAUUUAAAAUGGAAACUUAAAGAAUAAAGCUCAUACGUACUCGAUAUAAGGUAGGACUUCCUCCGUAUUCUCCAAGACAUAUAGAUGUGUUUGAUUCAACAGGUCCUGAUCAACUACGCUCACUGUGCAACCUGAUAAUGGCUUUGAAAGUCCCAUCUUUUGGCUUGAAGGCACUCCAACUGUACUAACAUCAGAUAAAUGCUGAGUACAAAACUCUAUCGCUUCUUCAGCUAUAUACCGCUCAGCAAUGCAACCUUCGGGACGAGUACGAUUCUGAACAUACCCCUUCAGCACUUUCAUAUAUCUUUUAAACGGAUACAUCCACCUAAAAUAUACUGGCCCACAUAGACGAACUUCUCUGACAAGAUGUACUACUAGAUGAACCAUGAUAUCAAAGAAUGAAGGGGGAAAGUACUUCUCAAGCAAACACAGAGUAACUACUACAUCUUCUUCCAACUUAUCUAGCUUGGAAACAUCAACAGUCUUUGCACAUAUAGCAUUGAAGAAGAAGCACAAACGAGUUAUUGCAUACCUUGCAGGCUUCUCCAAAACAGAACGAAUUGCCACAGGGAGCAAUUGUUGCAUUAAGGUAUGACAAUCAUGUGAUUUAAGGCCAAGAAGUCUUGAAUCUUGUAAAGAUACAAGAUUUUUAAUAUUUGAAGAAUAACCUUCAGGGACCUUCAUACCAUAGAAAGAAUUGCAAACCUCUCUCUUCUCUGCUCUUGACAAAUUCCAAGGCCCAUGAGGCAAACGAGUACGUCUUUCUCCAUACUCGGGUUGCAAAUCAGUUUUGACCCCCAUGUUCAAUCAAUCUAAUCGAGCAGCAAUCCCAUCUUUAUUUUUUCUAGGGAUCUCCAGCAAUGUACCAAUGAUACUAUCACAAACAUUCUUCUCAAUGUGCAUAACAUCUAGGGCAUGCCUCACAGGAAGGUAUUUCCAAUACUCGAGAUCAAAGAAUAUUGAUUUCUUCUUCCAACAAACUCUGUCACCAUUUUCGACCAUAUGCAGCACUUCUUCUCCGGUUAAUGGCUCGGGAGGUAUGCCAUAUUCAGGUUUCCCAUUAAAAGCUGCACGUUGCCUCCUAUAUGGAUGAUUGAUUGGUAACCAUUUUCUAUGCCCAAUGUAACAAAUUUUGUGGCCAUUUUUCAACCUGUGACUAGGUGUAUCAUCGCCGCAUAUUGGACAAGCUUUAUAUCCUUUAACAACACAACCAGAUAAGUUUCCAUAGGCGGGGAAAUCAUUAAUUGUCCACAUUAAUGCAGCUCUGAGUGUAAAGUAUUCUCCAUUAUGUGCAUCAUACACUCCUCUAAUCCCAUCCCACAAAGAUUUUAAAUCAUCAAUCAAAGGCUCCAAGUAGACGUCUAUAUCAUUUCCGGGUUGUUUAGGACCGGAAAUCAAUAAGGUUAACAUCAUGAACUUUCGUUUCAUGCACAGCCAUGGAGGGAGAUUAUAUGUAACUAAGAUAACCGGCCAACAACUAUAUCUGCUACUUAGAGAACUGUGGGGAUUGAAUCCAUCAGAUGAAAGAGCCAAUCUCAAGUUUCUCGGCUCAUUACCAAACUCAGGCCAUUUAUCAUCAAGAAGUUUCCAAGACGGGGAAUCCGCCGGAUGAGACAUCUGACCGUCAAUUGAUUUUCUAGCAGCAUGCCAAGUCAAACUCUUAGCUGUCUCAUGUGAUUGAAACAUCCUUUUAAACCUUGGAAUUGGAGGAAAAUACCACACCACCUUCGCUGGCACACCCUCUUUCAAGAUUGAAUCUUUGCCUUCCUUCCACCUUGAGAUACCACAAGUAGGACAAUUAGUUGAAUCCUCAUACUCCUUCCUAUACAAGAUGCAAUCAUUGGGGCAUGCGUGCAUUUUCUCAUAACUCAGCCCCAAUGCACACAAAGUCUUUUUAGCCUCAUACAUAGAGGUUGGUAUUGUAUUUCCUUCUGGAAGCAAAUCGCCUUGAAGUAUCAAUAAUUCUGUAAAACAGACAUCACUCAUCCCAUGUUUUGCCUUCAAAUUAUACAACUUCACUAAUGCCGAUAACUUCGUGUACUUUCUACAACCAGGGUACACUGGUUGAUCUCCAUCCCCAAUCACAUUGGCAAACUCAUACGGAUCGGAACCAAAAUCAUUAUCAUCCAUAUCAAUUUCUUCAAACACAAAACUGUACCUACUAUGGCCAUCAUCUUCUUCAACAUUUCUACUAGCAUUAGUAGUUGCUUCCCAAGGUUCUCCGUGAAAUGUCCAAUUCUUAUGGCUUUGGUCAAUUCCAUUAAAGUAUAAGUGAUCCCUUAUAAUUCCAACCCCAAACAACUUCAAAUUAACACAUUUAACACAUGGACAACGGAUAUGUGUUGUAGUUAGAAGAUUUUCUACAGCAAAGUUCAAAAAUGCUUCCACCCCAAACUCAUAUGCCUUCGAUCUUCUAUCCGAGUGCAUCCAUGACUUAUCCAUCUCCGACACUAUAACCUAUUAUCUAUAAUAAAGUGAAAAUACAGGCAAUGACCAUCACUAUAGCAGAUUAUACAAAGAUCUAAUAGCAAGUAAUACACAACAGAGACGACGGGUUUUAAACAAAAACAGACGUAUUUGGCAUAUAUAGACGACGGAUUUUCAACAGACGUCGUCUAAUAUAAGUAAUACAAACGACGGUUUAUGAAAAAACCGUCGUGUAUAAGUAAUACAACGACGGUUUUUUCAUAAACCGUCGUGUAAUCGUCGUCGUAUGCCUAAAAAGGCGUCGUGUCUCAGUUUAUUUUCAAGAACCCAAAACCCAUUAAGAACACAACAUAUAUAUGAAACCAAGCAAGAAAACAACAUAUACAUGAAACCAAGCAUGAAAACAAUAAAUCCAUUCCCAAUUCAACAUAACAUAGGGUGAUUAAAAGAUCCGACAAAAUUAAAUCCAUUCCCAAUUCAACAUAACAGAUAAUGUAAUCCAUGAACCCAUUAAACAGAAAAUCCAUGAACCCAUACUUAUAAGCACAUUAUUAACAGAUCGCAAAGCAUAUACCUAAAACCCUUUAACAAAACAACCUAAUAUCAUUCAAUGAAUUUACAAGGGGAAGAUAGGGUUUGUACUUACAGGUUGGACGAGCUCACAGAUUCGACGGAGCAGAAGUGAGAGAGCAACUUUUAAUUAGAGCAGAAGUGAGAGAGCGAAAUGUUAUGUUGCGCGAAAUCUGAAAAUUUUAGGGUUCAGGGUUAGAAGAAUAAGAAUAAGAGCCAAAUAUAAAAAAAUUUAGGACGCGCGAAAGAAAAACUAUGGCGAAAGUUCUACAAGCACUGACGUAAAUGUAAUAUUCCACGACGGAAACACUGAACGUAACGCCGUUUAUUUUGACGCUUCAUUUUUCGGAUUAAUUUUAAAUUUAUUUUCAAUAUUUUGAUAUAAAGACGACUGUAAAACCACGUCGGGGUUAAGAAAUUGAAAACGUUGUAAAUUAUAAUAGACGACUUACAUAUUAUAAUGACGUCGUUUAAAGUAGAAACCAUGUCGGAUAAUUUACUGCACGACGUAACAUAUGUAUUCCACGACUCAACCACCGUCGUUAACAAUUAAUACCCUAAACCCUUAAAACUAAAUUAUAUAAUUUUAAAAAUUAAGUUUAUAAAAGGGUUUAUGGUUUUACAGCCUAAUAUAUACCCUAGACUACCCAAAAAUUAUACUUUAAAAAUAAACCCCAAUAAAUAACAACCCUAAUCUCUAAACCCUAGACUCUAAACCCUAAACCAUAAAACUAGAAGUGAUUUUAUGACUCAUCAAAACAAUUUUGUUUUGGAUGUUCAUUUUAAAUUUUUGUUAUUCAAAAUGAAUUUUUUCAAGGUUUAGGGGGAAGAAAAUAUAUCAAUGACUUCAUAGGAGUUGACUUUGCAUUUUUCUGAUUUAUUUUAAAUUUAUUUUGAAUAUUUUGAUAUAAUAAUAAUAAAAUAUUCUUAUCACAACAACAAACCACGUCGGUGUUAAUAAAUUGUAGACGUUGUAAAUUGUAAUAGACGACUAAGUUGUUAAAAUGACGUCGUUUAAAUGAGAAACGAUGGCGGAUAUUUAACUAUCCGACGUAAAAUAUAUAUUCCUCGACUUAACCGCUGUCGUUACAAAGUACUACCCUGAACCCUUAAGAAAUUGAAGACGUUGUAAACCAUAAACGACUCCAUUGUUCGAAGAACGUCGUCUAAAUAUCCUUUUACGUCGGAUUUGUUUAAAACGAAACCACAAAAAACGACGGCUUUUGACUUUAUUACGUCGUUGGAAAAUUAUUACACGUCGGUUACGCAUUUUGUAUGUUUGUUUUUGUUUUUACUUUAAGAAAACCUCAACAAAUUUUUACAUUAUAUAUUAUAGACAAAAUUUGUACAUUAUACAUAAAUAUCAAGUGUUCAAUAAUUCCCUAUUCCAGUUGAAGGCAAACAAACUCUGCCCAUUCAUCCCGGACUUCAUCAAUUGCUUCUUGGGGGUAUGGCUCUUCCUGUUUUCCCUUCGCAUACUGCAUAAAAACAAUGACGAUUAGGGUUUAUAAAUAAAAGGAAAUUCAAUCACAGACGACCAUAACCGACGUAGUAUAUCUAUUCAACGACGGUAAUUUUACAUGACCGUCGUUGAUAAUACAAAAAACGACGUAAAAUGUUUGAAGGUUAUUUCUUCUUACCUUCUUCUCAAACCCCAAGGAAGGAUCCAUGAUGAUGUCCUUCAUGAAGCGCAUCACGUAAUACCCGCAUUCGACAUUGCUGGGUUGCUUUGGUGUGCUUGACAGAGUUUUCCAAAUGACUGCCUUACGGCCUGAUCUAGCUAUGUGGGAAUUAUAAAUUUUUAUGGCACUGUUCACGAUGUUUUUGGCCUCUUCAUCGACCACACGAUUUCCUGGCAGAGGAUCCAGAAAAUAGACUGUUUCCCUCUUUGCUCUUACAAUCAGCAAGAUCCAAUGACGGCUGCACAAAAUUAAUAUAAAAACGACGAUUAUUUACAAAAACGACAUAUUAUAAUAUUUCACACGACGAAAUAAAGUAGCAAUCGACGACAUUAUAUAUUUAUCACGACGAUAAAUAACUACCGACGUGGUUAGUCGUUUCAAACGACUCAAUAAAAUAAAACACCGACGUGGUUAGUUUAUACGCUGUCAUUUAUUGAAAAUCAUAAAAACAAAAUCCUGUUAAGGAGACUAACCCUGGAUUGUAAGGCAUUAGGAAAAUCUGUUCACCGUCAGUCUUCUGAAGUCGUGAUGCUACCAGUCGUGAUCUGUCAGCUAUUGUGCCAGAGCUGGCACUAACUGUAGCAGGGUCGAUAAAGCCAACCAUUGUGCACAUAUUUGCUUGUUUUAAAACAUCGUGUAAGUACCUAAAUAUAUAAAAUAAUAUAAACAAGUCAGCGCAAAAAAAACACACGACGGUUAUGUAUAACAAAACGACGUAUUAUAAGGUUUCACACGACGUACUGAAAUAGACAACGACGUUAUAAUAUAUUUAUCACGACGGUACAUACUAACGACGUGGUUAGUUAGUUAAGACGACGCAAUAAAUAAACCAACGACGUAUUAUUUUAGAAUGACAAACCUCAUAUAUACAGCAAUGACUGUAGCUCCUAUUUCCUCCAUGCCUGCAAAUUGUGUAAUAUCUUCAGGCAGGAGGAAGGUAUCGCGCUCUAGACCAAAGACCUCCUUAUCAAUUGUAAAGUGCAGGGUCUUAUCCUGGGGCACGAGUGUCGUUUCCACAUAACGACAAAGGGUUUUUAAAGAAGAUGGCGCCUCCAUAUUUGAAUAAUCAACAACUUUAAUAACCUGUUUAAAGAAAUAAAAAAAAUGACGUGGUAAUUCAAUAAAAACGACGGUUUAAGGAAUAAAACGUCGUCUGAAAACAAUUUAAACGACGGUGAAAAAACUGUCGUGGUGAAUUAUUUAUUACGUCUUAGAAAACAAUUCCGCCGUCUAAGUUGUAAACAAACGACGGUUUAAAGAAAAAUAUCGACGUCUGGAAUUUUGAAAAACAAAUAAAAAAGGCAAAGUUAUGUGAACAUACCUGGUCGUCAUCUUCUUUCUGCUUUUCAUCUUGUUUUUCUUCUUUAUUCUCUUCAUCUAUGACGUCGGGAAUGAUUAACUCCGUCGUCUAAAAACCACAAAGUUUUAAAAAUAACGACGUUUAAUGGCGUGUAAAACAAGUAAACUAAAUACGACGUGGUAUUGAAAUACAAACGACGGUUUAUUUUUAAAAGCGUCGUGGUAUGUAUUUCAAACGACGGUUUUAUUAAGAAUAACGACGUCUAAUGGUUUUUAAAAAAACAGAGAAUUCAAAGUUCAGAUAUGUUACCUUUUCUUCUUGAUGUUUCCCAUUUUUGGCAGUAUCAUCCUCAAAAUGCUGGGAUCUCACAUCACCUCCAGAGCAGCUUGCUUUGUCAGACAUUGGAUUUUUGGGACUUUGGCUAAUUCUGGGUUUAAGCAUGCUUGGAUCAAAAUUGGGAAUUAAUUGGGAAAGCUGACUCAGGAAAUGCUCCCUCUCAGCCUCUACCAAUUGUUUCGUUCUAGCCUCCAUUCUUAAAGCCUCUUCCCUUGCCUUAGCCUCCAUCUUUUUAGUCUCUUCUUGAAGGAGAACUCUUAAACUGUCUUUCAAACGGUCGUCAAAGCUCACUCUCUGUGGUUUGGGUAAAUUGAAAUAUUGCUUUGGUGAGAUCCCAGCACCUACUCCUCUAACCCUACCUGGAUGCUCGGGGCCCAAAGCCAUGGUCAGCACAUCAUUGCUGCCAGAGACGGUGACUUUGCCUUCCGAGACUUGUUUUUGCAAAUCAUCCUAAAACAAAGAUAUAUAAAAAAGUAAGAACAAAAACACACGACGGUUAUUUAUAUACAAACGACGUAUUAUAUAAUUUCACACGACGCAAUAACAUAUAAAUCGACGUUAUUAUAAUUUAUCACGACGGUAGUUAUACCGACGUGGUUAGUUCUUUAAAACAACGAAAUUAAUAAACCACCGACGUCUAAUGUAACAGAGGGAUGAUUCAAUAUUCACACCUUUAACGACGUUGUUUAAAACAUUUCGACGUAGUAAUUUAAUACAGACGACGCGAAAUUGAACCACCGACAUCUUAUGCUAUAAUUACAGAAAACAGAGUUCUGAUUCCUAUUUAGACCUUUAACGACGUGUUUUAAAAAAUGUCGACGUGGUAAUAUCAUUCACACGACGCAAAAUAUAACAUAAGACGUAAUAAGAAUUAUUCACAGUUUAAUAAAAAUUUAAAACAGAGUGAGUAGGCUUACAAUUAAUUUUGCUUUCUCUGCCACCUUUGGAUCAGGGAUGUUACCAUGUUUGUCCUGUCUAGCUCUCUUCCAUAAGGUAGAUCGAUCAAUUUCUACCCCAGGCAUGGUUUCCUCUAAUUGAUCCUCCAAACCAGCAUAUCCUUUUCGAGACAAUCGAUGAUUGUACUCGAGUUUCUCCCUAAUCUGUGCAUGUUGAGAAUGCACAGACUCAAAAUCUUUGGAUAACCUUGAAGCUACAAAGGCAUCCCAUUGUGCUUUCUCUAUGAAUUUAUAUGUUUCAGGGGGUUGGCUUAAUCUCUCCCUGUCAUUGGUGUAUGGAAGGAUAUAAUGCCUCGUUAGUGUAGACUUGAAAUCCUUCCAUUUCUUGGCAGCAGAAGCUAAGACAGAGUUCUUGCCCCCUUGACCUACUACAAAAGCAAUGUCAACUGCUUCCCAAAUCUGCUCCUUUAUAUCCUUGGGGAUUUGAGCCCAUUUCAAGUCCACAAGUGGGACUCUGGAGCGUGCCAACACACCAAUAUAGGACUGCAUCUCACUGUGUGCUUGGCCAAUUCCUUUCCCCCUUUUAUUGUACUCAACAAUUGGCCUCAGUUUCUGAAGUUUUCUCUUCACAACACGAGGCAUUGUGCUCAUACCUCGACCAGCCUUUGAAUCAUCAGAGAUUGUUGUCGCGCUUGUUGGUUCUGUAUCAGCAGAUGAUGAAGCAAACUUCAUCUUCUUCGAAGACUUCAUUAUCUUCGAAGACUUCUCUUGAGGAGGUACUUGCUCCUUACCUCCAUUUUUGUUGGAGCCAGAAUCCUUACUUUGGUCUUGGUGAGAAACCAUUUUUACAGACAAAACUGCAAGUGAAAAUAUUUCAAGAAAAGAUUAAGAACACAAACGACGGUUAUUAAUAAAAGACGACGUAUGAUAUGAUUUGAAACGACGCAAUGAAAUAAUAUCAGACGUAAUAAAUGUUUAAAACCAAGGUAAUUAAACAACGACGAAAUAAUUAACUACAAACGACGUAAUAAUUAACUAUAAACGACGGAAUAUUUAUAUAACGUCGUGGUAUUGAUGUUCACACGACGUCAGUAGUAAUAUACCGUCGUCUAUAUAAGGAUCCAAAACCCUUCUUUCUUUCUCUGUGAAUGUUUGAUUGCAGAUUUGAUUUUUCUGAACCAUGGUUUUUGUUUUCUAAUUUGAUAAAAUACAAGGCCAAGAAAGAAAGUUUUGGAAUCUUAUAUAGACGACGGUAUUUUAAUAUGACGUCGUGGUAUUAACAUUCACACGACGUAAAACAAUAAGAUACUGUCGUCUAUAUUAGAUACCAACCCUAAUUUCUUUUUCUUUAUAUUUUAUCAAAUUAGGGAAAAACAAAAACCAUUGUUCAGAGAAAUCAAACCUGCAAUUAAACAAGCAAAUAAAAAAAAGACUAUAAUUUUAAAACCAACUUUGUCAAUUUUCAGACGACGCUAGAACGACUGACGAACCGUCGUGGUCUACAUAUUUAACCACGUAAAUAAGAAGCUACCGUCGUCUUAUUUAGUUGAGGUAGUUGUCUUCAAAGUUGGAAACUUUCCCUCUUUGUCUGUAUAUUUUUUCGAACUUGGAAAGAAGUAAAAUGAUUUUGGCCAGAAAAAAGGUAAAAAGAUUUUUCAUACAAAAAACGUAUGAGCAUGCAAAACAGCAACCAAAAUAGUGAAAAUGAAAGCUUACCUUUUGCGUGCAAUGAAAGCAAGAGGAAGACGAUUGAUGUUUAAGUUCAGAGACGACGAAGAAGACGAGAGGAAGACGAUGAGAUACUCUGAAAGUGCUCUGACAAGGAAAAAAGUCUAAAAGUUUUCUUUGGGAGAUUGAAAUUUUUAAUCGGGUUUGGAAACAGUGCAUGUGUAAGUCAGGUAGAUGAAAAGUUGCUUACAUAUAAAACCAUUUCAAAAAAAUAAUACGGCGGUUACAUAUAACUACGACGUAUAAAUUACAAAAUACGACAGUACGUUUAACUUCGGACGUGGUAAAUAAGUACGACAGUAGUGUUGUAGGUACCGUCGUAGUAAACUCAAAAAUUAAAGUACAUAAGUAAUAACUCGCGUCAUGGUAGAUCAUUUAACACGUCGGUUUUAUUAAUGUACCGACGUGGAUUUAUGUAAUAUACGUCGGUCAUAACGACGUUGAUUUUACAAUUUAAACGGCGGUUUUUUUGUAAGGACCGCCGUUGGUUUUAAAAAUUUAUUCUAUAAAUUUGUCGCUUUCAUUCAUUUUCGGUUUACAUUUAGGGUUCCAAGUUCUUCCUCUCUCAGAGACACUGUCUCUCACAUCUCAAAGACAGUAAUUUGGAUGUCUUUCUCAAAGAGAAAUUGAGCUUACUCGCAUCAAAUCUAUGUCCACAAGAAGAAGCUUGUCAACUAGCCUUCUCACUUCCUUGAUCAAGCCUGAUAGGACACUUAGUGCUUCUGAAUACUCCUUGCUUUCCAUCAAAAGAGAUGCAAGCCUGGCCUCCACUCGCUGUUGAAGGAAAGUUCGCUUCUCAGGGAAAUCUGAAGAUCAGAUGUGCCUGAUCCUCUGCUUGAUUUUCUUGGCUAAGAAGAUCCGUCAGAUUUGUGAUAGCCUCUUCCUUUAUCCGUAGAGCUUCAGAAGAAGAAGAUGGGUUUCAAGAAUGCGAUAAAGAAUAGAAAUGGCUUCAUGAAUGCGAUAAAGCAUGAGCAAUCGAAUCAGUGCUUUGAACUAUACUCUGAACUAUACAAGUCAAUGCUUUGAACUAUACAAGUCCUGCAGAAAGAUAAAGGACCAAACUGUUAAAGAAACUGAAACUAUUAAAGAAACCAUAAACUAACACGACGCAAUAUUUGUUUUGCGACGUGGAAUCUUUUCAUUUAACGUCGUUAGGUUUAAUAUAACCGACGUGGAUUUGAAUUGUUAAAUUAUGAAUAGAAAUUUUUUUCCCGUGACCUUUCAGUUUAUUUUUCAAUUACAGUGCGUUAUAAAUAGAGUUUUUUUUCCGGAGGAAAUUUAAAAUGAAGGAAAUUAAUGUUCUGGAAUAUGUAAAGUUUCUUUUUUGGAUGACAGAUUUCAAUUCUUGUCAUUAAGUAGAUCUACCGACGUAGGAUAAGAAAAUAAAGGAAAAAAUUGUUAACAAAAAUUCUUAUUAAGACGACGGUUUAAAUUAAAGGUACGACGUAUAAAAUUAAUAAAUACGACGUUAAAUUUUAUAGUACGAUUUAAAGAUAACGUCGUAGAACUAUACGAGAAUGACGUCGAUAUAUUUAUAUUUCCCGUCGUUGUACAUUAAUUUAAUACGGCGACAUUUUGUAUUUUAAAGCCGUCGAUUUGUUUGUAAUUAUACGGCGUCUUAUAUGAAAAUUUCGUCGUGUUAUUUUAUGAGUAAAAACGGCGGCUUUUAUUGAAAUCGUCGUCUUUACUUUCUACGUCGGUCGAUUCAUAACUUCUGCCGUUCUUUGUUGGCUUUGAUUUUACACUGCGGAAAUCUGUUUCAAAUAGACGUCGGUUUUUUAAUUAGGUACGUCGUUGUUUUUGAACAGCCAUUUGAAUCUCCAUUUUUAGUUGUCUAAGGUGGUAUUACACUAGGUGUUUUUAGAACCGUCGUCUUUUUAAAAACCACGACGGUUUUCACUUAGACCGUCGUUGUUUUCUGGUCGUCUUUUUCACUUUUUGUAGUAGUGGAUCAACCCUUAGUAAUGAUCAAGGACAUAUUGAUUGGGAUAGUUUAACUUAUGAAAAUAUAAUAAGUACAAUUAAUCAAGUUGGAAUGAAGAUGUGUGUUGAUAUGAAAAUUGGUAGACAAAUACAGUUAGACAGAAAAUCCGCUAAGUAUGAGUUAGGAAAUUUCUGUGAACAAUACCGUCUUCCCAGUAUUCCUCCUUCUAGGAAAAAUAAGUCUAGGAAAAGUCGUCAUUAUUCAGGUCAGAAACAAUCCUUCAGACACAACAAUGAUAAUAAUGAGUUUUACAAGAAAAUAAAAUUUCACCCUAAGAAAAGUUGGUCAAAAGCACCGAAAAAUGAAAAGAACAGUCGCUUUAAAAAAAGCUCCGACAAAAGAAAACUAAAAUGUUAUAAGUGUCAAAAGUUCGGUCAUUAUGCCAAUGAAGUGAAAGACACAAACAAACAGUUGAAAAUCUCGAAUGAAGAAAAAGAAAAGUUGAUUAAAGUUUUAGAAUUAGGAAAUUCUAAGUCUAGUGAUACUAAUUCAAUAAUUGCCGACACUAAGUCAGAAAAUAAUCAUUCUUCAGAUUCCCAGUCUAGUUCGCCUAAAGUCCAGUUUGGUUGUCAAGACAAAUGUUGCAAUAGAUUAAAAUCAGUUUCUGUCCUCACUAAAUAGGAAGAACAGGAAGAAUUAUUAAUAGAUUUAAUCAGCAAGGUAGAAAAUCCCGAAUUGAAAUCUAAAUAUUUGAAGAAGUUAAGAAAAGUAAUCAGUCAAGAGCAUCCAAGCCCAAGUCAGCCUAUUUCUCAAAAAAUCAGUCUAAACACAACUUUAGAAAGAUUUAAUAGGAAAAAGGAAAUUACCUUACAAGACCUACAAGCAGAAGUUAAAAUAGUCAAAAAGGAAAUAGUUGAAUUAAAACAAUUAAGUCAGAAAUUGCAAGCUGAGAAUUACGAAAUUAAGCAAAAUUUGAUCAACUUAAUGGAAAAAGAAAGUUCUGAGUCUAGAAGUCAAGCCGAGAGUCCUAAUAACUCAGAUGGGGAACCUUCAAAUAAUGAUCAAGCCAUUAAUCUGAUAAAACAUGUCACUUUCAGAAAAUGGUAUGCUAAAGUCACAAUAUUUGUUAAAAAUUUUGAGUUCAACACAGUUGGCUUAUUUGAUUCAGGAGCCGACCUUAACUGUAUUCAGGAAGGUUUAAUCCCCACUAAAUAUUAUCAGAAGUCUAAAGAGUCUCUUAGAACUGCCUCAGGAAAGUCGUUGCAGUUAAAUUAAGAAAUUCUCAUAGCCCACGUCUGUCAAAACAAAAUUUGCUUUAAAACUUCAUUUGUCCUAGUCAAAAAUAUUACUGAUGAGGUUAUCCUAGGAUUACCUUUUAUUGCUUUAUUAUAUCCUUUCUAGGUAGAUUAUGAUGGGGUCAUCUCUACCCAUUUAGGAGAAGAAGUCAAAUUCGAAUUCUUAACUAAGCCUGAGUUGCAUAACCUGAAAGCCCUACAAAAGAAUUCAGUCUAAAAAACAAUUCAAUCAAUUCACAGGAAAAAUAACCAAUUGAAUUUUCUUAAAGAAAAAGUCAAGUUCAAAAGAGUCAAACAACAACUUAGUGAUAAGUCUUUACAGUUGCAAAUUCAAAAAUUUGAAAAUAAAUUAAAAAAAUGAAGUCUGUUCUGAUUUGCCUAAUACUUUUUGGCAUAGGAAACAACACGUUGUUAGUCUCCCUUAUGUCAAAUCCUUUAGUGAGAAAAAUAUCCCCACUAAAGCUAGGCCAUCCAAAUGAGUCAAGAAAUAAUGGAAUUCUGUAAAGUUGAAAUAACUGAGUUGCUUCAAAAAGGAAUAAUUCGAAAGAGUAAGUCGCCUUGGUCUUGUCCUGCUUUUUAUGUCCAGAAAAAUGCUGAACUAGAAAGAGGAGCCCCCAUAUUAGUUAUUAAUUAUAAGCGUCUUAAUACAGUCUUCGAAUGGAUUAGGUAUCCCAUACCUAAUAAACGAGACUUCAUCAACCGAUUAGAAAAAGCAGUUGUCUUUUCGAAGUUUGAUAUGAAGAGUGGUUUCUAGCAAAUCCAAAUUGAUGAGUCAAUAGAUAUAAGACUGCAUUUGUCACUUCUUUUGGCCACUAUGAAUGGAAUGUAAUGCCUUUUGGUUUGAAAAAUGCCCAGAGUGAGUUUCAAAAUAUAAUGAAUGAAAUAUUCAAUCCCUUUAAUCAUUUUUCCAUUGUCUAUAUUGAUAACGUUCUAAUCUUUUCUCAGUCGAUAGAACAACAUUGGAAACAUUUGCAUCAGUUUCUCCAGAUAGUCAAACACAAUGGUCUAGUUGUCUCUGCUAAGAAAAUCAAGUUGUUUCAAACUAAUGUUAGAUUUCUUGGAUUUAAUAUCUGCCAGUCGCAAAUUAAUCCAAUUGACCGAGUCAUCCAGUUUGCUGAUAAGUUUCCUGAUCAAAUUCCUGAUAAAAGUCAACUCUAGAGGUUUUUAGGAUCUCUUAAUUAUGUGUCUGAUUUUUAUCAAAACUUGAGAAAACAAUGUAAGCCAGGAUAACCCUCCUCCUUGGUCUUCUGUCCAUACAGAAAUUGUCAAACAGAUCAAAAUCCAUGUCAAGACACUUCCUUGUCUUGGUAUUCCUUCAGUUGAUUCUUUCAAAAUAGUUGAAACUGAUGCCUCUGACAUUGGUUAUGGAGGUAUUCUCAAACAGGAAGUUGACCCAAAUCAUCCAGAACGAAUCAUUCGUUUCCAUUUUGGUAUUUGGACCUAGUCGCAAUAUAAUUAUAGUACUAUUAAGAAAGAAAUAUUAUCUAUAGUACUAUGCAUAUCUAAAUUUCAAGAUGAUUUACGUAAUUAAAAAUUUUUAGUCAAAGUUGAUUGCAAGUCUGCUAAGCAUGUUUUGGAAAAAGAUGUUCAAAACAUUGCACCAAAACAAAUUUUUACACGAUGGCAAGCUAUUUUAAGUAUUUUUUAUUUUAAUAUUGAAUAUUUGAGAGGUAGUGAGAAUUCAAUUCCUGAUUUUCUUACUCGAGAAUUCCUGCAGGAAAAACAGGAACAAUUGCACCCAAAAAAGAUAACCAAAAAGAGUCAGCCAGUCAGCCCAAGCCACCCCAGUCUCUCCGAACCCUUCCAUCCUCAAUGAACCCAGUCAAAUCAGAGUCGCCCUCGCAUAUUAUCCCUUUCCCGGGAUGCUCCCCAAUUCAAGUCAGUAAUCGGUUCUCCUCCCUGGGAACCACAGUUGGCCAAAUCCGUCCUAAUUACCAGUCUGCCCUAGUCCCUAGUUAUGAUCCAUUCCAGAUCAUUCCUCCAUUUGCCCAAUCUUCCCAGUCGUCUCCUCUCAGAAAGUCGUCUCCUUACCUUCCCAAAGAUAAGUCUCAUCUCUUUAUUAUUGAGCCCAUUUAUGAUGGUAUAUCUGACCCAAUAGCAAUUGUCAGAUCAUACUUUCCUCCUAAUUGUCAUUUUCUUCCUCCUUGCCCCUACAAGGAUCUCAAAUACUAUAGGGAUAUCCUCCAUGAAACAGGAUCAGUUGAAAUUAAGCCUAUUAAAGAUUGAGAACGACCUUAUGUCAUUCUCUAUCAUUCGCUUUAUAUUCAUAAAAUCAUAAGUCAAGAAGAAUUUAGUCGCCACCCUUAUCAUUUGAAAUAGCUCCAAUCUACUCACCAGUAUAACUAUGCUGAUUACAUUUAGGCAUGGUAUACCAUAUUUCUCCAUCAAACAAUUGAUUUCAAUCACUCUUGGUUCAUCAAUUUUGAUAGUAAAUUCAAGAGUCCAUUUCCUUAUUGGUUCCUUCAUUGGUGGGAAAAACAUAGCCCAAUCGCCGAAACUCUCCCCACUGAAAUCCAUAAUUUGACAAAUUAUUUUGCCAGUAAAUAUAAAUUUAAUAAGCAAGAGUUGUUCUUGCCCAAAUUGCUCCUAUUCAUUGCCAGAUACAAAGUCCCCUAGAUAUUGAAAUGGUCCUAUCAUGUUAAUUGGGAAUCACAAAUCAUGUCUCGCCAAUUUUCAGUCAAAUGGUGGGAUAAGUUCAAAGUUGACAGAAUUGCAGAAUAUGUUUAUCGGGAUUUUCCACAAAUUGUUAAUCCCUUUAAACCUCAACCGGUCUCUCCAGUUGGUUCCACUCACUCUUCUCUCUCAAUCGAGGGAAAAUCCAAAUCUGAGUUGCAGGAACUAGCUCGACAGUUGAUUCUCCAAGCCUCCCAAAUGGAUGAUGAUGAGGACAGUGAUGCAAACCCCAAGUCCCCGUCAUCUACCAGUCAAUUGCCACCUAAACAAUCGAGCUCUGCUCCCAAGAUGCACUGGGCAGAUUAUCAAGACAGUCAAGAUCCUUAUGAUCUCGGAUCUGACUAAAGCCACGAGUUGCCAAGAUGAAAGUAAAUGUAAAAGCAUUCAGAAAAAGCAGUCAAAAGCUUUCGCGUGCUUCUUUAGUCAUUAUUCCCCGACAAGUAAAAGUUAAAGUGAAAGUUGCCAGAGUUAAAGUUUGAUGCAGAAAAUCUCGUGCUCCUACAGAAAGAUUCUCAGCAUCCUAUGCUCCAAAUAGUUUAGUUGUUUUCUUAUUUAAAAAGGCUUUGACCUCAGUUGUAAGUAUACUUGAAAAAUAGACAAGUUUUAAGAUUUAGUUUUCCAGUUUAAAGCUUUCUCUGAGACUUCCUCAAAGAAAGUUAUCAAUGUAAAUUACGAGUGCUGCUAUCUAUCAAUAAAACAAGACUUUUUGUAAGUAUCAAAAUAACUACAACUAUGUCUUUAAUUAUUUUUAUUUAUGCACUAAUUUCAUUCAUGCAUAAGUUUCGCAUAUUUUAUCAUCUAGUUGCUUAUACUUAUUAUUAUUAUUAUUAUUAUUAUUAUUAUUAUUAUUAUAUAUAUAUAUAUAUUAUAUAAAUGGGCAGCUUAAGGUGUUCACCUGUUUUGUUUUUACUCCUGUAAUGGAAGGGCAAAGUUCCCCAUUGCUUUGAAAACCAUUAACUGGUCAACAAGCCAACUUUCUCUGGUGUGCGAGCGUGCCACUACUAGCAAUGAAAUAUCCUAGUAGACUUCUUUGAAACAGAUAACUUGCGCCCCAAGUUACUGAUUUCUAAACAAGCGAUUGUGAAUUUGGGUGAGGAAUAUCUCUCAAGUAAGUUCUAUUCUUGCCUCAGACUAGUAAGGACUUCGUAAUUUAUCACUGUAUAAAAUUGGAAGUUCUGACCAAAAUAGAUGAUAAUAAAGUAGACUGUUUUAGGCAGAACUGCCUUCUACAGAAUUAAAAAAAGGAAAAAUCAACUCUAGAAAGACAAAAAGACGGCUGGAAUCCCAUUUCUACCUGGGUAGAAACUUCUAAUCUAGGCUGGACUGAGUAUAUUUAUGCUGGACUGAGCUGUUAACAACUUCAACUGCUUAGCUUUAGCUGUAAAUCAAUACCAAAGUUCAAUUUUGGCAGAGCUUUAAUCUACUUCAAGCCUUGGGAGGCUUUUGAGUAGGCAGAACUGCGGCUUCUUUAGUCUAAAGGGGCAGAAGUGGCUGAACUUGAGGACUUAAUAAGCUGGAACUGCACUGUAAAAUUUGUUGAGGUUUUCAUAUUUGUGAAAACUCAAACUCUGCUUGUCUUGGCUUUUGCUGAACCAAAUUUGUAACGAGAGAAGUCUCGUUUUGAAUGACUUAUUUCUCUAAGUCUGAACUUUGGAAGUUCUGAUCUAUAGCUAGCUUCUUUUGUGGCUCAAAUGAGCUUUUGGUUGCUCCAGUUUGUUUGAAGGUUCUCAAUGAUCAAGUGAUCAUUUUGAGUUUUUUUUUUGGUUGAUUUUUGAUUUUUUUAUUGAUUUGUUGCAAAAUAAGUGUCCUGCUCUGUUUACCCUCUCUUUAUAUUUAUAAGAAAUGUUCUGGAGUAGGGUUUCUUUCUUUCAAUAAUAGGCGGCAAAAAUUCUUAGAAGAUCUUUCAUUUUUAAAAUAUAAAGAAGAAGGCGUUUUUAUCAAUUUCUCGCAGAUAGGCUUUCAAUAGUCAGUUCUUUUUAAGACUAAUCACUUCUUUUUUUUUUUUGGAAGAGAACCUUACCCCUCUUCAAUUCCAACUGCCCCUUUGUGAGAGCUCAAACCGUGAUGUUCAGUUUGCUUUUCCAGUUUGAACAACUCCCUGUUUUCCUGCUUAUCUCUUUUUUGAGAACUUUAGCCUGCGUAUCUUUUGAAAGAUGGUGCUUUCUUUGGAGUAGAAACAAUAUCUUUGAAUAUAUAAAAGGGUUUUGAUCUUGUGGUGGCAGAGAUUUCAGAGACGUCCCUUCUUUUUGCCUGCCUCUGUCAACUCUUUUAUCAACCCAGUUGAAUUUGUUUGACUUUUCCAAAUCAGAGAAAAAAAAUCACGUGGGUCUGUUUCCUUUUGUGUUUCCACCUUUUACUUUGAUCAUGCCAAGCCAAUUUAGUUUCUUUGAAGCCCAAGCUUGAGAUAGGUUUUGGGCUGGGCUUUUGUUGCAUUUUGGACCUUUGGUUCCUGUUUAUUUUCAGAGUCCAUACUUCUCGGGCCCAGCGUUUUUGUCUUUGUUAUUCUGGCUCUGUAGCGUUAGGCUGGGUGCGCAGGAUUUUGGCCCAAACAUAAGCAACCUCCCCAAGCCUAAAACACUCCAGCCCGAAAAACCUGUAGCCCUCAACCGCUCCAAAUCUGUGCAGUAGAGCUUUGGGCACGCAACCCUUCGAAUAUCCGGUCUUGAAAAACUAGGCAUCAGCCACAAGAAAUCCCGGCGCAUCUUCCAACUCUCGGCCUCAAUCUCCAACCAAAGCCCGACCAGAUUUGAACAAGGCCCGGGUGCAAAAACCUAGCAGUGUUAUUCGUGCCCAGCAGCACAUGGCUGCCCAACUUUCUCCGACCGUGCCCGGUUACUCAAAGCCCAGCUGUGACUUCACCAACUCCAUUCGUAACCUUGUGCAGCUUGGAUUGCUAUGGCGGCCAAGCUUCAAUGUCCUAGCCGAGUCUCGCAAGGCCCAGCUCCAAUCUCGGCCAUAUUUUUGCAAGGUCCAACUGCUGUCCGGCUGUAAUCAAGUGCAGCCCAGCCUCCAAAAUCUCGACCGCCUAGGUAUUCUUCGGCCUCUGGCAUUUUCUGAAGCUGCCCAACUUGUUCCGGCCUUAGCUCCUUUGGCCAUGCCUAGCCGUAUUUCUUUGCCCAGCCGAGUCUUUCGGCUGCGUGGUCUUGCCACAGUUUCCAGCCAAGCUUGAACGUAGCCAGCCUAUUCCUUCAGACACGCAGCCUUGCCCAUUCUCCUAGCCACGUAGCCCGGCCGCAUAUGAGCAAUUCAAUACCCAGCCACAUACUCUCUAAAUCUUGAGCCAUUCCGACCGCAAUAGACUGUAGCCCGACAGCUCAUGUUUCCGAAAAAGUGCCCGGGUUGGGUGAACUUUCACCACCCCCAAACAUUGCCCCCUCGACUUGCUUAGCUCAGAAUUGAUGUAGAGGUAAGCAAAUAGAAACCGGAGACCUCUUAAUUUCUAAAGUUUGAGACUUUUUGCUCACCUUGCACAUUAUUAAAUUUUGAAUCGGGCUGGAUGCCUAGACCAUUGCUUGGCCCCAUUUUGUAGUGAACUUUGCCCAUGUAUAUAUAUAUGAUAACUUUUGGAAGAUAUGUUUUUUUGACGCCCAUUCUUCCAAUAAAAAUCAUUAUCUUACUAGGACGAUAUUUCCUUACGGUGGGCUAUCUCUCCGCCAUUUCCCAAACCGUUGGGUAGUAUUUUUUUCAAAAAUCGACCGUUGAUAACUUUUGGACUAACCAUUUUGGUUCAAAUCAGUCUUGGCGAUUAUAUGCACCACGUAGGGCAAAAUGUAAUACCUCAACUUGGUUGUGGUAAAGUACAAGGCUAAGCAAAGUUUCACAACCAGCGAGUAUUUUCUCUCGGUUGCCGUUAGAAUUCGGCUGAGGUAAUAUACCGCUUUCUCUUUCUUCUCAUCUUUGUCUUGGGCUAACAAACUUCCAAUGAAGCUCUUUGCGGCCGAAAUAUACAAUUUCAAGGGUCGGCCCUGCUUUAGCAGAAUGUGCACCGAAAGCUUGGCCAAAUAUUCCUUAAUGGCGUCGAAUGGUUUUUGGUGUGUUUCCUCUCACCGAAAUUCCUUUUCAUCUUUGAGUUUUAGCAAAAAUGAGAAUGACUCAACUUUUCCCGUGAAGUUGGCAAUGAACCUUCAGAGAAAGUUAGUUUAGCCCAACAAACUUUGCACACCUUAUUUUUUGAAUAGGGCGCGUUAAGGAUAGCCUUAGCCUCAUUUUUAUCAAUUUGAAUUCCCCUUUGGUGCACCAAGAAUCCUAUGAAAUUCCCGGCGGAAACCCCAAAGUCAUGACUUACAAAUUUGGCCUAAUAAAUUUGGCUUUCACAAGUCUUACAAUUUCUUCAUUGACUUGUAAUUCUACUUCUGCCCACAUCUAAUGAGGCGGCUGCUUGAAGGGCUUAAAAUCUUCCACCAUCGGUAAGCAAUGCUCGUGAAGUUGGCAAUGAAGUUGGCAAUGAACCUUCAGAGAAAGUUAGUUUAGCCCAACAAACUUUGCACACCUUAUUUUUUGAAUAGGGCGCGUUAAGGAUAGCCUUAGCCUCAUUUUUAUCAAUUUGAAUUCCCCUUUGGUGCACCAAGAAUCCUAUGAAAUUCCCGGCGGAAACCCCAAAGUCAUGACUUACAAAUUUGGCCUAAUAAAUUUGGCUUUCACAAGUCUUACAAUUUCUUCAUUGACUUGUAAUUCUACUUCUGCCCACAUCUGAUGAGGCGGCUGCUUGAAGGGCUUAAAAUCUUCCACCAUCGGUAAGCAAUGCUCGACCAAGUCAUGACUCAAUCCGGGAAUUUCAGUGUGUUUCCAAGCGAAGUAAUCCUUGAACUCUCUCAAAAGCUCUUCCAUCUUGGCCCGAAGUUCUGGCUCCAUUAGACCUAACGUAGAUUGGUCAAUGGUUGUUCUUCCAUCUUGGCCCGAAGUUCUGGCUCCAUUAGACCUAACGUAGAUUGGUCAAUAGUUGUCUUCCGUCCCCAAGUUGAUUUCCACCAAAGGGUCUUGGACUUCUGCAUUCGAAUCAUCCAUCUCAGUUUGUGUGAAUUCCACUUCCUCAAUUUCGAGUGCAUCAUCUUCCGGACCUUCAUGAAGAAAUUCCACCACGUUAGCAGUGGAUCAUGCUCGGCCGAUCUUUCGGCCCAAAACCAUAUAGCCAUCUCAAAGUGUCUUCCAUUGCGGUCUUCUUCUCUCCCUCUAUGGUUGUAUCACUCAUUGAGGGAGAAAAAAUCAGCUAUAGUGGGGCACUCCCCAUCUACUUGGGCGUUAUGUGCCCCCAAGUCUAUCAAUUUUUGGGCCGAGACUCCCGCAGGUCAACCGUUCCUAUCUGACCCCGUAAAAUAAAGAGGCCAAAUGUUAUCCUGAUAAAACUUUGCCUCCACUGCAUUUGUGGAGGUCAAGAAGGGCAGUGCAUCGGCUUGAACAGCCUCUACACUUUCAUCAUCGUGCCAAAAUUGUAAUAAUUGAUGAAGUGAAGAAGGCACACACAUGCUUCCAUGGAUCCAAUCUCGGUCCAACAAAGCAUUAUAAUGGGUCGUUGUCUCCACCACAAAGAAGGCAGUCAUUCAAACCUUUUGCCCCACUCUAACUUGGAGUGGGAUAAUCCCCUUUGAAGUCGUGGUGUCUCCCAUGAACCCACUGACCAUUGUCUCGGUCGGAAUUAAUUCAUUUGAGUCUUUCUUUAAUUUCCUCAUGAUUGAAGCUAGUAGGAUGUUGACUGUAGCCCCAAUAUCUGUAAAGACUUUGCUCACCAAAACUCCAUCGAAAUGAGCUCCCACAUGCAAGGGCUUAAGGUGGGAGGACAUUUUCUUGGUGGGCGUCUCAUAGCACAUCUUAUGGGGCAACUUUUCUCCAUUUUGGGCACCACGAUGCAAGAUUGGGCAUUCCCUUCCUUUGAAAUUUCUUGGGCCACCUCAAUUUCUUUGGCCCCUUCCAUUUGGACUAUGGACUCAACCUCAUCGAACACAUCUUGUCCAUAUAAUUAGGUUGAUCCGGCCGACCUUCGAAAAAUAGUGGGAGUGUAAUAACCAUGGCAUUUACCUCGUCAAAGUCUCCAAACUUCACUUUGACCUUGCCCACCUUCAAUUCGUUCUCAAAUUUGGCAAUCUCUCCCUUGCGUUCUUUCUCAAGUUGUUCCAUAGCCUAUUCCGGAAGUUCCUCUAUGUACUCAUUAUCAACAUACUCCUCAUCAUCUCCAUAGAGCUUUUCAUCCUUGGUUCACUUAAUACCAUAUGUGGCUCAUGCCCAGCUUAUUGGACCAUGUUUUGGUCAUUUUCCUCUUUCUUCUUGACCUUGGUGGGCACUCACACUUUGGUCAAAGGUCAACUCUUUUAAAACUCCUUUCCUUCAACACUUUGGUUAUUAUCAAACUCCUUGAUGUCUUUCCUUGUGAGGCCUCUAUCACGUGCACACUAAGCUUCGAAAAUCUUGGGCGUGAAUCUGUGGCUUGGGCUUGGAACUCUGAUCAAUUGGAAUGAUGCAAGGAUGCCCUUCAUAACCUUUGAAUUCCUUGAGCUCUAAAAUCGAUUUGCCGAGGAACCUCAUUUGAUCUUUAUAUUCGUUUAUUAAUAUAUAUAUACAUAUAUUAAUAAAUGGGCAACUUGGGUUUUGUUGUUUAAACCAAUUUAAUCUUGUGUAUAUAUAUAUACACACACAAGGAACCUAAACCCUAAACCCUUAAAUGAACCUCCCCAAACCUAAAACACUCCAGCCCGAAAAACCUGUAGCCCCCUACCGCUCCAAAUCUCUGCCGCAGAGCUUUGGGCACGCAGCCCUCAGAAUCCGGUCUUGAAAAACUAGGCAUCAGCCACAAGAAAUCCGGGCACAUCUUCCAACUCUCCGCCGCAAUCUCUAACCAAAACCCAGCCGCAUUUUAAUAAGGCUCGGGCGUAAAAACCCAGCAGUGUUGGUCAUGCCCAGCCGCGCAUGGCUGCCCAGCUUUCUCUGACCGUGCCCUGCUACUCAAAGCCCAGCUGUGACUUCACCAACUCCAUUCGUCGAACCACGGCCGCAUUCUAGCCCUCCUAGCUCCAUCUGUAACCUUGUGCAGCUUGGAUUGCUAUGGCCGCCAAGCUUCAACGUCCUGGUCGGGUCUCGCAAGGCCCAGCUCCAAUCCUAGCUGUAUUUUUGCAAGGUCCAGUUGCUGUCUGGCCGUAAUCAAGUGCAGCCCAGUUGCCAAAAUCUUGGCUGCUCCCGAAUCUCGGCCGCUUUGGUAUUCUUCGGCCUCUGGCAUUUUCGGAAGCUGCCCAACUUGUUCCGACCCCGUCUUCUCUGGCUGUGCCUAGCCACAUUUCUUUGCCCAGCAUUGCAAUUUAGAGCCUGGUUGCGACCCUACCAAAACCCGGCCGAGUCUUCUGACUGCGUGGUCCCACCGUACCCUCCAGCCAAGCUCGAAUGUAGCCGGCCCCUUCUUUCAACCAUGCAGCCUUGCCCAUUCUCCUAGCUACAUAGCCCGGCUGCAUAUUAGCAAUUCAAUACCCAGCCACAUACUCUCCAAAUCUCAACCCAUUCCGACCGCAAUAGACUGUAGCCCGACCGCUCAUGUUUCCGAAAAAGUGCCUGGGUUGGGUGAAUUUUCACCAUCCCCAAACAACGGGGAAGGCCAUCACUUUGUAGAACGAACACUAGGGAGGAAGGGGGUCUGUUGAGCCAGACCUCAUCCCAUAUCCUCCUCUUUGCUUCAAGAGCUGCAGCAUCUGCUGCUUUGUUUGCUUGCCUCGAAAUCCACUUCCAGGAGCAAGAAUCGAAUAGCCUGCAUUUUUCCUUUAUUGCUGCAAGGAUUGGGUAGAUUGUCUAUCUACCAUUUUGAAUAUUCUCCUUUAUGCUUUGAAUCAACUCCGUUGAAUCAGACUGACACUCAAGGUGAAUGCUACCUAAAUUCGAGGCGACCACCAGGUCAUUUAAGGUGUAUGGGCUUUAGCUUCAAUGGGAGAAGAGGCUAUGAUCAGUUCACAAUUGUAUAUCAUUUUGUACCCUUCUAGCUUAUGAUUUGGUUAUGUUAUUGAGUCAAAUGUGUGCUUUUAAUCCCUUUUCUGUUUAUCAUUCAGUUCAUUGGGCCUCAGGUAGCAAUGGUGUCUUUGGAUAAGAAAAGAUGCAAAAUGGUGCAAAAACGAGCAGACUGGGUUAGCAACUCAUUUCGACCUUAACAUCUUUCUCCAAACUUGGAUUGGCCCAAAUAAUAUGUAGUUGGAAAGAUGAGAGUCUGAACUUCAAGAUGGACUACUCAAAUGCAUCAGAUUAUGAAGUGGAGCCCAAUUCGUUAGCCCAUUUACACACCAGGCUCAGGAUUGCAGUUUCCAGUUGUUGAGCCUUGGAUACUUUCUUUGAGCCAUGUGACUCAUCAUAGCUUUCCUUGACUUUAGACCAGACAUGUUGAGCAAUUUAGGGAGGUGUGUCAGCUACUCAAGUGCAAAGGAGUCACUCCAUUGACCAAUAAUUCAAUCCAGCCAUCCUAUAUCACUUCAUUCAGCCCAAAAUCAAGGGGGAGAACUCCAACAAGCCUUCCUUCCAUUUUCCUACGAAUUUCUUCUUUCUCUACCAUCACCAACCACCCAAACUCAUCCCAAAUCACCUCUUUAGUUGCCAUACUCUAGACAUGAGAAAGUUCUUGGAGUAGCAUUAGACGUGGAUAAGCACCUGGAGAAGCCUUGGAAACCACAAGCAACUUCAGAAUUGGGUUUCUCUACUCUUGUUGCAUUCAAUAUGUUUUCUCAUUUUUGCUUAAGUUUUAUUUCCAUUAUGAGUAGCUAAAUUCAUAACUAGGGCUAUGAUGUAACCUAACAUGAAUAUUCUGGGUUUAUAAGUUGAAGUUUUGAGUUUCAAGUUUGAUUCAUGAUUCAUAUUCCUAUUCUUUAUGCUUAUCAGUUAAUAUGCUUGUUUGGAUGAUUGAUCACCAUUAGGAACUUGUAUAUUAGCUACCUUGGGUUGAAUCAAGAGUAGACACCAUGCUUUGAUUUGAAUUGAACUAUGAAUAAGAAAAGUAUGUAUGGACAUUCGACAACAGGGAUUAGAUACAUGCUUGGUUGUUUAAAUUGUUCUUCUAUGCUUAAUGGGUUCCUAAUGCUUAAUUUAGAUUAGACAACAAAUGAUCAAGUUAGGGAAUUAGGAGCACAAGGUUAGGACCAGACACCAUGGCCUAAUCAUACUUUAGCUAGAAUCAAUCUUUGAAUCCGAAUGAGACUUGUCACUUGACUCCUUAUAACCCAGAAUUGAAUUGUUAUGGUGAAUCGAAUGCCCUAGUCUCCUAAUCUGUUUUUCAGCCUACAAAAGUACUCUUUGUUACAUUUGUUCACUUUGCUUUUGUUUGAAAUUUCGUUUUGCCUCAUUUGUUCAACAAUUACAAUCAUUCUUGCUUUAAAUUCUAUUUUAGACUUAACCUCUUACUUUCUUGAAUUUGGUAAUCUAAGUACAUAACUAAUUUUAACUUCUCAGUCUUCGUGGGUACGACCUCGUACUUGUCUUGCUAUACUACUAAUUGGCCCGUACAAUUGCGAGUUAACGUUUUAACAACAGGCUAAUCUGACUAUACUAGCUCCCCUUACAUAUCUACCAUUUUUAUCCCGAAUGACAGCUUCUAAACCAGCAAUUAAGGUCUCCUUGUCCCAAGUCGCAUCCACAUUUAGCUUUAGAGUGGAGUGGGGAGGAGGGAGCCAUCUCUGAACAGAAACACCUACUUGAGGAUUUGUC
rnacentral:lncRNA from 1 species